rnacentral:tRNA from 1 species
GCUGGGGUUGUGGCUCAGUGGUAGAGUGCUUGCCUGGCAUGUGUGAUGACCUGUGUUCAAUCCUCAGCACAGCA